UACGUAGGGUGCGAGCGUUAAUCGGAAUUACUGGGCGUAAAGUGUGCGCAGGCGGCCGCGCAAGUCGAGUGUGAAAGCCCCGAGCUUAACUUGGGAACUGCGCUCGAAACUACGUGGCUGGAGUGUGGCAGAGGAAGGUGGAAUUCCAGGUGUAGCGGUGAAAUGCGUAGAGAUCCGGAAGAACACCGGUGGCGAAGGCGGUCUGCUGGGCAGUAGCUGACACUGAGGCGCGACAGCGUGGGGAGCAAACAGG
rnacentral:rRNA from 1 species